CCAUUCAGAGCUACUGUGGAUACACAGAGACAGACAUGUAUUUCAUUAAUCUAUGCCUACGAGCCACUGAUUUCAAUCAGGGUUGGUCACAGCACAGUGCUAAUG